UUUGAGCCGGCGGCGCGUGUGCAGUCGUCGUCCCGCAGGCAGUUCCGCUGGGCACGCUGGGUUUUCAGAGCCCUGACGAUACAGCGUUCGGGUCCACUAGUCUCACUAAAAACUUGGAAGACUCGGUGCCAUUCCUUUAUUCGUGCCGAGGCGAGAGGGACUCAGGGUGAGAUGAGAGCGGUCUCAGCUUCUGCACCUCGACUUGCACAUCUGUAAAAUGGGGCUGAUAGCCCUCCUGCUCUCAAGAGCACGUGGAGGUGCCAGGCAUCGUGGUCCUCAGUACAUCUUAGGUUACUGGUGUUUCCCGCCUCCAGCCACCGUGCCGCCAUUCCCUCCUGCGUGCCCAAGCCCUCUCCCUGUAUCACCUUCCAGAUGGGAAAGCCAAAGCUUGGAAAAGUCACUUGACCGAGGUCACAAAGCUAGUAGGUGAGAAAUCAGACUCAAAGGUCGUCCUGACUGAGAAGCCACUCCAGCAACCCACUCUGUGCCCCCAAUGUCUAGGUCGCUCUUUUUAUGGACACACAUAUAAG
rnacentral:lncRNA from 1 species